AACGCAAAUUGCGGUUUUGGGCAAUCCUGAAACCAUGCCUGGUUGAGUAUCAUAAGGAAAAAUCAAAUUUAUUUUCUUGUAAAAUAAAUUUGGAUAUGAGGUUUGUCAUGUCGCGGUUCACGCCAAGACACGUCCCUUUAAAUCUAUUCAGAUGCAUGAUCUCCCAAAGUUCAAUGCAGCUACUAGUGUGGCAAUUUGUUCUUCUGAACAAUUUACAUUAGCACUUUUCAGCUCUUGGACAUUUCAAUUUGGUUGAUUGAACAUUUUAAACCUUACUACAUGUCGCGUAAAAAACGAUAUGAAAUUCUGAUCUCAGCUCAAGCAAGACUACCCGCUGAAUUUAA
rnacentral:misc_RNA from 1 species